rnacentral:rRNA from 1 species
GACGAACGCUGGCGGCGUGCCUAAUACAUGCAAGUCGAGCGAACCGACGAGGUGCUUGCACCUUUGACGUUAGCGGCGAACGGGUGAGUAACACGUAAGGAAUCUACCUAUAAGUGGGGGACAGCCGAGGGAAACUUCGAUUAAUACCCCAUAACGCAGAGAGACCCGCAUGGUCAUUCUGCCAAAGAUUAUCGGUCAGGGAUGGUCCCGCGUCUGAUUAGCUGGUUGGUGAGGCAGCGGCUCACCAAGGCGACGAUCAGUAGCCGGCCUGAGAGGGUGAACGGCCACAUUGGAACUGAGACACGGUCCAG